AUAGAUCCUGAAACCGCAUGCUUACAAAAAGUAGGAGCCUCGAAAGGGGUGACUGCGUACCUUUUGUAUAAUGGGUCAGCGACUUACAUUCAGUGGCAAGGUUAACCGAAUAGGGAAGCCGUAGAGAAAUCGAGUCCGAAUAGGGCGAUCAGUCGCUGGGUGUAGACCCGAAACCAAGUGAUCUAUCCAUGGGCAGGAUGAAGGUGCCGUAACAGGUACUGGAGGUCCGAACCGACUAAUGUUGCAAAAUUAGCGGAUGACCUGUGGAUAGGGGUGAAAGGCUAAACAAACUUGGAAAUAGCUGGUUCUCUCCGAAAACUAUUUAGGUAGUGCCUCAAGUAUUACCUGCGGGGGUAGAGCACUGUUUUGGCUAGGGGGUCAUGGCGACUUACCAAACCAAGGCAAACUCCGAAUACCGCAGAGUACAGCUUGGGAGACAGAGCACCGGGUGCUAACGUCCGGACUCAAGAGGGAAACAACCCAGACCGCCAGCUAAGGUCCCUAAAAUUGGCUAAGUGGGAAACGAAGUGGGAAGGCUAAAACAGUCAGGAUGUUGGCUUAGAAGCAGCCAUCAUUUAAAGAAAGCGUAAUAGCUCACUGAUCGAGUCGUCCUGCGCGGAAGAUGUAACGGGGCUAAGCCAGUUACCGAAGCUGCGGAUUUGCAAUUUAUUGCAAGUGGUAGGAGAGCGUUCUGUAGGCCUGUGAAGGUGGUGGUGUAAACCCUGCUGGAGGUAUCAGAAGUGCGAAUGCUGACAUGAGUAGCGUUAAAGGGGGUGAAAAGCCCCCUCGCCGUAAGCGCAAGGUUUUCUACGCAACGUUCAUCGGCGUAGAGUGAGUCGGCCCCUAAGGCGAGGCAGAGAUGCGUAGCUGAUGGGAAACAGGUCAAUAUUCCUGUACCGAUGACAAGUGCGAUGUGGGGACGGAGAAGGUUAGCUCAGCCAACUGUUGGAUAUGUUGGUUCAAGCCUGUAGUCGUGCUCGGUAGGCAAAUCCGCCGGGCUUAGAUGAGGGGUGAUAACGAGGGUGCUUGCACCUGAAGUGAGUGAUACCCUGCUUCCAGGAAAAGCCACUAAGCUUCAGCUUGUCAUUGACCGUACCGCAAACCGACACUGGUGCGCGAGAUGAGUAUUCUAAGGCGCUUGAGAGAACUCAGGAGAAGGAACUCGGCAAAUUGAUACCGUAACUUCGGGAGAAGGUAUGCCCCAAGUAGGUGAACUCGAACAGAGGGAGCCCAACGGGGUUGCAAAAAAUCGGUGGCUGCGACUGUUUAAUAAAAACACAGCACUCUGCAAACACGAAAGUGGACGUAUAGGGUGUGACGCCUGCCCGGUGCUGGAAGAUUAAAUGAUGGGGUGCAAGCUCUUGAUUGAAGUCCCAGUAAACGGCGGCCGUAACUAUAACGGUCCUAAGGUAGCGAAAUUCCUUGUCGGGUAAGUUCCGACCUGCACGAAUGGCGUAACGAUGGCCACACUGUCUCCUCCUGAGACUCAGCGAAGUUGAAAUGUUUGUGAUGAUGCAAUCUCCCCGCGGAAAGACGGAAAGACCCCAUGAACCUUUACUGUAGCUUUGUAUUGGACUUUGAACAGAUCUGUGUAGGAUAGGUGGGAGGCUUUGAAGCGAGGUCGCUAGAUCUCGUGGAGCCAACGUUGAAAUACCACCCUGGUGUGUUUGAGGUUCUAACCUAGGUCCAUUAUCUGGAUCGGGGGACAGUGCAUGGUAGGCAGUUUGACUGGGGGCGGUCUCCUCCCAAAGCGUAACGGAGGAGUUCGAAGGUACGCUAGUUACGGUCGGACAUCGUGAUAAUAGUGCAAUGGCAUAAGCGUGCUUAACUGCGAGACUGACAAGUCGAGCAGAUACGAAAGUAGGACAUAGUGAUCCGGUGGUUCUGUAUGGAAGGGCCAUCGCUCAACGGAUAAAAGGUACUCUGGGGAUAACAGGCUGAUACCGCCCAAGAGUUCAUAUCGACGGCGGUGUUUGGCACCUCGAUGUCGGCUCAUCUCAUCCUGGGGCUGUAGCCGGUCCCAAGGGUAUGGCUGUUCGCCAUUUAAAGAGGUACGUGAGCUGGGUUUAAAACGUCGUGAGACAGUUUGGUCCCUAUCUUCCGUGGGGCGCUG
rnacentral:rRNA from 1 species